UACGAGGGGGGCAAGCGUUGUCCGGAUUUAUUGGGCGUAAAGAGCGUGUAGGCGGCCGUACAGGUCAGCUGUGAAAACUCGAGGCUCAACCUCGAGACGUCGGUUGAAACCGUACGGCUAGAGUCCGGAAGAGGAGAGUGGAAUUCCCGGUGUAGCGGUGAAAUGCGCAGAUAUCGGGAAGAACACCCGUGGCGAAGGCGGCUCUCUGGGACGGUACUGACGCUGAGACGCGAAAGCGUGGGGAGCGAACAGG
rnacentral:rRNA from 1 species